rnacentral:rRNA from 1 species
UUUUGUGGAGGGUUCGAUUCUGGCUCAGGAUGAACGCUGGCGGCGUGCUUAACACAUGCAAGUCGAACGGGAUCCCAGGAGCUUGCUCCUGGGUGAGAGUGGCGAACGGGUGAGUAAUGCGUGACCGACCUGCCCCAUACACCGGAAUAGCUCCUGGAAACGGGUGGUAAUGCCGGAUGCUCCGACUCCUCGCAUGGGGUGUCGGGAAAGAUUUCAUCGGUAUGGGAUGGGGUCGCGUCCUAUCAGGUAGUCGGCGGGGUAACGGCCCACCGAGCCUACGACGGGUAGCCGGCCUGAGAGGGCGACCGGCCACAUUGGGACUGAGAUACGGCCCAGACUCCUACGGGAGGCAGCAGUGGGGAAUAUUGCACAAUGGGCGCAAGCCUGAUGCAGCGACGCCGCGUGCGGGAUGACGGCCUUCGGGUUGUAAACCGCUUUUGAUCGGGAGCAAGCCUUCGGGUGAGUGUACCUUUCGAAUAAGCACCGGCUAACUACGUGCCAGCAGCCGCGGUAAUACGUAGGGUGCAAGCGUUAUCCGGAAUUAUUGGGCGUAAAGGGCUCGUAGGCGGUUCGUCGCGUCCGGUGUGAAAGUCCAUCGC